rnacentral:rRNA from 1 species
UACGAAGGGGGCUAGCGUUGUUCGGAAUUACUGGGCGUAAAGCGUAUGCAGGCGGAUCGUUAAGUCGGGGGUGAAAUCCCGAGGCUCAACCUCGGAACUGCCUUCGAUACUGGCGAUCUUGAGUCCGGGAGAGGUGAGUGGAACUCCGAGUGUAGAGGUGAAAUUCGUAGAUAUUCGGAAGAACACCAGUGGCGAAGGCGGCUCACUGGCCCGGUACUGACGCUGAGGCGCGAAAGCGUGGGUAGCAAACGGG